UAUUCAGCAGUUUCGCCCGCGCCUGCCACUCAAAAGUUUUGAACAGGAACAGAAGUCCCCAAAUCCCCCUUUCGCCGCCUCCGGCGAGCCCCGCCUCUCAUCGCCGCCGCCGAAGACGCAGUGGGAGGGAAGAUGGAUCAGUCCAUCAUGGCCCUCUGCGAGUCUCUCUCGUCGUUGGUAAACCACGCCGAGUCCUCAUCCCGCGAGCUCGCCGACGCCAUCUCCCAACGCCCCAUCCACCUCGAUAUGGCGAGGACCUCCUUCCUGCAGAAGCUGGAGUACAGGGCGGAGGCGGCGGCCGCCGACCUGCAGCACAUCGAGUCCAUCGCCCUCGGCACCGUCUCCUUCGAGGAGCUCCUCGGCCACUGGGGCGAGGCGCUCAACGUCUACGCGCGCCACGCCGACGCCCUCCAGUCCCACCUCGCUUCCUUCGGCUACGAGCCCGCCGACGCAGUCGCAGAGGAGCCUGAGGUUGAUGUGGAAGUGGAAGUGGAAGAUGGAAAUGUCGGUAAGGUCGAGGACCUUGGAGAUGGAUGCCUCAGCGUGUCGCGUUCAGUGCUCAGGUUGGGUAAGCGGCGAUUUCAACACGACAGCGACGCAAUAUUUGAGGAGUCACUGAAGGAUCUUGGGCUUUCAGAUGCUUGUCUAGCCACUCUUUCUUCUGAAGGCGCAAAUUAUGGUGUGAGCCAAAAGAAGCUUUGCAAGAAUCCUGAAAGUACUGAUUAUGGAGAAAAGAUCAUGAAUGAAGCUGAAAUUAUGACUCCCCAAAAUGAAAGAAAUGAUCAAGGUAAUUCUUUCAAAGAAAUGAUAAAGGCAUCUAAGGAUGAGUAUGAGCAACUUCCUUCUUACAUGAAGAGUCUAGCAUCAUGGGAGAAAGUUGAUAAUUCAUCAAGGAUUGCUGUUGGAAACCUCAUCAAGUAGCUCUAAUUGCUCCGAGAUUUAACCUCAUCAAGUACUGUAGUUGUACCAAUGGGAACUGCUUGCCAUCUGAACUAAGAACAAGAUCAAAUCCAACAAGGAUUGUUGUCGGAAACCUCUUUUCCUUGCAUCCUGUAGAAAGGCAAUGGAAGAUUCAAUAAAGCACAUCCAGUAAAGAAGUAGGCCUGAAGACGCCGCUAUGUUUCAUCUCAUCCUCAGAAGCAAGAAAAACAAUUGUCAAUUUCUGAACAGCGGUAUGGAGCAGAGCUGCUAACGGACAUAGCAAGUGUAGGAGUUGCAGGAGGGAAUAUCCAAACUAAAUUCAUACUUCGGUGGUGAUAAAGCUCAGGGAAAUGUUUCGUUGAACCAGGACCAUGUUGGAGAAAUAGGAUUGGGGCGCAAAGGAAGAGCCUGCCUGCUGAUGC